GAUCUGAACUCAUCCAAUUUGAAACUCAGUUGGUGUCUUCCCCCAUCUAAAAUUCCAGAAGCCAGACGUAAUCUCCCCUCUUGGCCAACUUGAUAAGCUUCGCAUCCUUCGGAUAACAUCUUGGCGUGAUCAUCAACUUGUGAUAAAGAUGACAUUUAGGAUGAAGCUUGGUUCUUAUAUUUCACUUUGGAGAAGGAGUCUGGACUCCGGGUUCUGUAUAAAUAGGAGUACCCAUCACUUGAUUUUGCAUUCUCCAUCAAGAACGUGCAUUGGCUACCAGCUCACAUAUGAACCCCGAUAUCAAACUGAGGCUUUUUUUUUUUUUUUUGUGCAGGCAUCUCGAGUUGAACUGGUCGUGGCUUCUCCUCGAGGUACCACAUCUUUUGAAGAAAACAUAACCAUCCCAGUAUUUUGGUGCUUGUGACUUUGAGGUAAGAGAAUCUGACCACAAGAGUACGACUAUUACUUUUCUUGGAAAAGAUUCACAUAUCUCUUUGCCUUGUUUUACAUUUUGCAGGAAACAUCCAAGCUUCAUUCCAGUCUGUUAGGUGGCCUUCAGAUGGUUCAGAUGGUCUUAGGAUUGAUUACAUGAGUUCAAUCCUCGAUGCGUACUGAGGAAUCCUAGAAGAAGGUAGCACCAUGAUGUUCCAAGGCUGUCAUGACUGCUUCCCCUGUACAAUUUGCUGUAUUGAUCACUUGAAUUUGAUCUAGCAACUCUUGCAUGCUUCUGCAUUUAUGUGCUUGUUGUAAGUAUGAGACAAUUCCCAUAAUUCCUCCACUUUGUGUUUUCUGCAGUUUUGUGAUAACAGGUGAGCCAAGUAGAACACGCUGCUGAUUUGUGAUUGAAGGUGAGCUAAACCAAGCAUUCUGCAGAUUUGUGGCUGGAGGUAGGCACCCUUUUAUAGAGAGAUGGCCACUUCACUUUCAAGGCAACAUUUUGAUGAUGACUUUGAUGCAGGUGGAUAACUUGGGGCCGAAACUCUGCACAGGGAUCGUCUUGGAGCAGCUUCCCCACUAUUGUGAACAGAACUUCGCAGAUUUGUCCUUGGCGUGAACCAACAGCCCGAGGCUUUCACUUGACACUCAUCCUUGCCACCCAUAUGCAGGACGCACCGCAAUACAGGCAUCAAAGACAAGUGUAGUGAAACUCGGGAACUUCGCAGAAUCGUACUUGGUGUGAACUGGCAGCCCCCGGGCAUUCACUUGACACUCAUUUUUGCCACCCAUAUGCAGGACGCACCGCGAUACAGGCAUCAAAAACAAAUGCAGUGAACCCCUUUGUUUCUCUUCUUUUGCCAUCAGAAAGCUGUCGAAAUCCCUUCUCUUUGCACGUGCUUCUUUCAUUCUCUGAACCUGCACUUGUCGUCAACAUAAAAGGUAUUUCGAAAAUGUUUUCUGGUUGUUGUUUUCUGUCCUUCUGAUUUCUGGUGGGCAACAGUAGAGUUUUUGGGGUUUUGUGAGCUAUGGCCUUGUUGUUGGUAUAUUUGGUUGGAGUGGUUCAUUUUCGGAGCUAUUUAGGAGGGGUUAUAGAGCCUAUAUGGAAAUAAGAAGCAAGCCUUUCUGCACUCAUAUGGAGAUAUCAGCAAUGAUAAAGAAAAAGUAGCGAGGAAGACCAUGAAGAAGAUGACCAGCAAGAUACCUGAAUGAAGCUCUCGCGUUAUUGGAUUGUUGUUUCCAGGGGGCAGUGAAGAUUCUAGAGGGCUGGAUAAACAUUUGUUUGAAAUUUGAAUCUCCCGAAGCUCACGAAGAUAAGCUGUUGAUCGGAGACUUCGUCUUUGACUUUGAGAUUGAACUUGGACGCCUUCUGCCACUUUGUUCUUAUCUCACUUUGAGAUAUUUGAAUCACAAUUUGAAUGCUUUCUUCUGCUUCUGUUUUUUUUUUUUCUUUUUCUUUUUCGUAGCUUAUCCCCGCCCAAGCUUGGUCAAUCCAUUCAACUUGUUUGAAUUUGAGAAAGAGAUAAUUUGUAAAUAAAUAUUUGUUUAACUGCUGUCAUUAUCCUCAUCUCUCUCUGUUUUUUUUUUUUUUUUUUUUGAAUAAUUGCGACAGCUACAUGCUUUGUACAUUGUGGGUA